AUGGCGAGGAACAAUGGUCGGUUAGUUGCGCCACUGCCCGCCGGUGUCGUCUUCUUUAGGAGCAAAAAAAGUCAGUCAAACGCGAUCUAUCUCUAUCGCUCCCGAACCCACCUCUUCCCCUUCCGAUCUGGUCGCCGCCGAAUCUGGCGUCGCCCCCCACCCCCCACCCCCGCGCUCGGUUCCCGUCCAGAACCUGCCACCUACGACGGAGCGAGGCCGCCGAAGCCGGCGACAAAAGGAUUCGAAGCAGCCGGCCGGAGCUACUUUGACUUCGACGUUGAGGAGGGCGUCGGCCUCAGCUCCUGGCCUCCCAGGGCCCGCCGCCGCUGGGCUCGUACAUGGUGCCGAUCCGGUUACCGGCCACUGUACCCUCUCAGUUCGUGCUCCCCCUACCUCAUCUUCCUCUGUUUUUGUUCUGCAGGUCAGGUGCGGGCGACUCGGAGAGGAGCUUUGGCCGUAAGGACUAUACAGCUUAGUUUCUCCUGGGAUCACGUUCUCCGGACGUCCAUUGAGUUUCCGAGCAAAGUCCGGGCCUCCAGGCCGAGGCUGCUAGCUUGUACAUGGAUUCCUAGAUGCCGUACUAAUGAAGAAGAUAGCAAGCCGUCGAUUGCUGCAACAGGGCGGCAGGGAAGAUCCAAGUCAGCCGACGGUUGUCAAGGCAACAGUAACCUUCUAAAGGACCUUCCUAUAGUCUCCUGCCAAUGCCGGAUUAGAUCGAGGUCGCGGUGGAUUGGUUUUGCUAGAACUGAUGCUAAGUCAUGGCAGAUCGAGCGGCAGCGCUCCCGUUCCGAUCGGGAGCAAGAUGACGGCAGCGAGCGCAUGAAGGGCGCGACCGGCACGCUGCCCGGACGAGAGGAGGAGCAGGAGGGGAGGCGCGGAGGUAGGGUCGAGGAUGAGGGAAGGAGCUCGCGAGGCCCAGCACCGGGAACGGAGCGGAGGCGGCUGGAUCUGGCGAUUCUUAAGGGGUUCCGGCGACAAGCGGCUCCGUGGGCGGCGACCUGCAGCGUUCAAGCGGCGGCUGGCGGCUGCCGUGAAGGUAUGAGCGAUCUGGUUUCCCCUUUUGUUGUUCUAUACAAGGAUGAUGCGGAUGUCUUUUGGAGUUUUGAGAUGCUACCGAGAAGGAUGUUCGAGGGACCGACAGGAGUUAUGAAGCGGUUGGAAGCAUUAUGGAAGAUCAUGGAAUUAACCGAUACAGAAGUAAUAAACUGUCUGCAUAUAUAUGCUAUGCGCGCGCUCGCCCUUUGCUCAGACACCGUCAAGGCUCUCAACCUCAGCCAACGAUCUGCCGAAGAUAACGUGGCAGCCACGAACUUGUGGUUGCUCAGCGUGCGCUCCUUCUUCCAGUUACACAGCAACCAUGACAAGAUGACGGAUGGAGUCCUUCAGCUGCAUUUUCUCAUGGAUGAACUGACCAACGAGCAUUCCUUGCUUCAAUUUCUUUGUCCCCACAAACCAGGCCGUCCCAUUUGCCCCUGGAGGUCCAGCUACCCCCACCAGCUCGAUAACCCUAGCUACCCCAACCCUCGUCCUCUCGAUCUCUCCCACUCAUCUCCCUCUCCUCCCUCGCGCCGCCAGAGGAGCCCAUCUCCUCGAUCUUCCCCUUCCCCUCCUUUGUGCCCCAUCUCUCCUCCCUCCGUUCCCAUCUCCCUCAUGCCCGAGCUUCUUCCUCGACCCCGUAACCUCACCAACAACAGCCAUGUUGCCCCGUCCAGUUCCUCGUCGGUGACCUCCCGCUCCGGAUCCGCCUCCCACGACCACGACCAGUGCUGCACCCCCACGCCGUCUUCCGCGCCCGACCUCUCCCUCGCCUUGCUAGUGCCCGAUCCCCAUCGCCUCAACCUGUCCCUUGCCGCACCGCGCCUGAGCUCCUGGACCCUGAGCCAUCAUCGCUCCUGCUGCAGGGACGCCAUGGUCGAGACCGCCUCCUGCAGUUCCUCCACUGUGCCCUGCUUAUCCUCCCGCGCCGCGCCUCCUUCCACUCCGCCUCCCCAAGCAGCGCCCUCGCCGGAUGGAGUUCUUGCUGCCGCCAUUGUCGUUCGGGGCCAGCGCCUCGCCUCUGUUUCGAACCAAGGGCCGGCGCCUCCUUCGCUCGUCGUCUUCGAGCAGCUGCACCCCAGACCGCCCCUUUCAUCCUUGUGA
rnacentral:rRNA from 1 species